rnacentral:lncRNA from 1 species
UCCCUAAAGAAAAAGAUUCAGGGAACACUAUAAUUUGCACUAUUUGUACAGCCUUCAGUGGAAGCGUGAGAAGGUGGCUAAAGGGAAAAUAGAAGUCAUGAAAACUGAAAAUAUGAGGAAGGGAUGGAGGCAAGUUUGGGAGCAACCGUACAUCUGGGAGAUGAUUUUGGAGGUGUGAAGAAGAGAAAACAUCAUUUCCUGGCAUGUCUUUUACUCCAGAUGAACAUAUCAGUACGCUCUUUUUGAUUGCUUACCUGCUGUUAGUGCUCUGUGAAGUGAUCCCGUCACCACAAGACUGUUUCCCACUCAGCUUCCCACAUACACAACCCCCAUGAUGGAUCUGCUACACUCCAAAUCAUGUGAGUGACAACAGGUUUGACAGCCUUUGGGGCGGUGAAGGAUCUGG